rnacentral:misc_RNA from 1 species
UUUCCGUAGGUGAACCUGCGGAAGGAUCAUUAAUGAGUUGUCAUGGGGUUCGAUGCUGGCAGCCAGUUUUUGGAUGCAUGUGCUUGCCCUAACAAUCAUCUUCUUCCAAACACCUGUGCACAUUUUUGAGGGAGUCUUGAGUUGGUUGCCGCUCUUGGGUGAUUUUCUCACAUUCCCUUAAAUCAUUAUACGCUAUUAACAAUGUUGAACGUGCUCUGUGCCGCAAGGCCAUUAAUAUAAUACAACUUUUAACAACGGAUCUCUUGGCUCUCGCAUCGAUACGCAGC